rnacentral:tRNA from 1 species
GCUGGGGUUGUGGCUCAGCGGUAGAGCUCUCACCUAGCAUGCGUGAGGCCCUGGGUUCGAUCCUCAGCGCCAGUA